UGGGCUGAUCUGUUUGGCAAGUUAUAGAAUUGGAAACUAACUUUCCAUCCAUUUCUUGGGCUGGAAUUAGAAGGCUGCAAAACUUUCCUAACCUAAAACGAGGAAACAGAUUCCAGCCCGUCUCCUCCCGAGCGCUGUCUCCUCCCUAGCCCCGCGCUACACGCUCGCGCCGCCUCCUCUCGAGCGCCGUCUCCUCCCGAGCCCCGCGCUACACGCCCGCGCCGUCUCUUCCCGAGCCCCGCUACACGCCCGCGCCGUCUCCUCCCGAGCGCCGCACGCCUGAGCGCCGCCCGAGCGUCUACGGUGGACGGAGGAGCUGCACCGGCAGUUCGUCGAGGCCAUGGUGAUGCGCGCAAGUACGAGUCCUUAUUGGCACUUCCAUUGAUUCUGAGGAAGAGAUGUCUGUUGAAGCAACUUAAAAAGUGAACCGAGUUGUGGUUGGGUGAAUUGAACUAUUGUUGGGUGUGUUGAUGUUGUUGUCUUAGUUUAUGUUGGAUGAAUUGAACAUCACAUUGAGUAGCAAGUAAUGUGUUCCAAUGAUAUGUAGACAUUUGAAACAAAUCUGCAUUAUUAUUACUAUUCUCGUGAUGCACGUUGCUUGAUAAA